AGUUUCAGUACUUCAUUUAUUAAAGAGCUGCACUUCUGGGCUGUCCAGAAAUGAUGUAUAACAGCUCCCCACUGAAGCUCAUUCCCUGCUCAGUAGAGAGUGCAAGUUCUAGAGGUGAUCAUCUCUCACCAGGCAAAAGACUGUCACAAGUUUAUCGAUCAAUAAUAUGGGUAGUUCUGUUCCACACAACAAUUUGUGUCUACUGAAAGAUAAAUUAUUGCCAUUGCACAUAAUAAUAGGAUUUUGAACAUUAUAAUAUCUAAGGGGUUUUAGGAAAGAGAUAAAGACCAGGCAACUGGGGGAGAAUCCUGGUUUCUUAGUUUGUGUCCGACUGUCGCAGAAAGACAAACACAGAGAGAACAAAGAGAAAGAAAGACACCUCAUCAAAUCAUUAUUGAAACUGCAAGGGAAAAAGGAAAUCGAGGCCUGUAUGUAGUUUGUUAUUUCUUUGUGUGAAUGAAUUGCAGUGGGAGUGCGUUAAUGAGUGAGAGGCUGCCGGCCUGGAGCGGUCAUGAGCUUUGCCUCAGCUUGAUGUUAGGAACUGUUGAAUUUUCCACAUCAAAGUCACACAAGACUGUGCAUAUGUGCACAAAAACACAUAAAUAUAUCUAAUUCUGCACAUAUCCUACAGGCAGUUCUAAUAGUUUGAAAUGAUGAGAGGUUAUAAACUGUUACAUUUUAGGUACAGCAUGAGAACUGAGAGACUAUGAUCCUGCAAAGGUAGAAUUACUGGCAGAGCUACAGAUUUAUACUAAAUUAGCCUGUAGAGGUGUAUAAAAUAAAAUUAACCCUAAAUGUUCUUUGUGACAGAGGCCCCUGGCAUGUUCCUGACUUUCCCUUCAGGACUUAGGAAACAACAUGGAAGACUUACAUUAGGACUAAAAAAACAAUGGGAAGCAGAGUGAGUGGAAGGAAAGGCUCCAGUCCCCACUCUUUUCUGUGGUGGAGGUGGCAGAGGUUUACCCACAGAUUGGAUCAUUUAAAACCUCUGGCAGUGGUUUGACUAAACAGCGGAGCGGCUCGCACUCCUCUCCCAUCUUUAUUCUGCAAAUCCCUCCUUUCGUGUCCUUCGCCGCCGCAGUUUGACUCCCAGUCAUGUAGCCGUGCACUGCACCCCAUACCAACGCGUACACACUGACAUUCUGUUUGACAUUAAUGAUGUCAAAUAUCAUUUGUUGUGCUUGGCCCCAGUUGUUCUCCUUCCUUGCAGGUGGAUUCUCCAGCCUACCUCUCUCAUCCCUGCUGCCGGGUCCACUCCCGCUCUGUAAGCCGCACUUGACAUGCUGGCUGCUUGCAGAGUCCACACAAUUGUCAUUCUUGUCAUUCCUAAAGAUACAGACAAAGAGAUUUGUGUAGCUGUAGGACCCCUCCCUCUGCCUGUCCCUGGCUGCGUUCACCUGCUGGCCUGUCUGCCAACAUGGCUGCAUCAUCUCCUCUCUUUACACAAAUGGCCCCCCAGUAGGGCCAGAUGGCAUCCGUUUAGCAAGCGCCGCUGCUGACUUAUUUCUCUUGUCACUUUUGGAUUUGUCACCACCUAAACUGCUUUUCCCCCCUCUUUGCUUUGGGAUUAUCUACAGUAUCUGACGUUAACCCAGUCAAAACAGGACAACUAGUAGAAUAGUUCCUGAAUGUUUAUAGGUAAUUAACAUUUAUUACUUGCAUUGCAAAUUAUUAUCACUCUCCCCUUUUUGGUGCUGGCCAGUGUUUAGUCUGUGAAUUUAAAAGGUUAUGGCUCAGUUGGGUAAGAUUACAGUAUUUAAUAUUCACGUUAUGGUUUAAAUUUUACAGAAAUGUGUGUUUUCAGUGCUGUUAAUGUGCCGUUGCUGCCUUUCAAGAGAUGCUUUUGUGUGAAUAUUUGUACAUUAGUAAAUCUCUGUCUGCACGUUCUGUGGCAAUGACCCCGACCGUGGAUAAUGUGAAUUUAUAUGGAAGAGGUGUUUUGCAUCUACUGCAUGGUGGCGAUGCACAAACACAAACCCAAUUGAAAAUGUAGGACUGAGCCCAAAUGUGACAGGACGUAACUUCUUUUUGAAUGAAAAUGAAAAAUACUUUAACGACAUCCAAUUUCUAUAACAAAAAAAGUGUUGCAAUUCCGAAAAAAUCAAUUCAGAUAAACAAGAUUGGAGCAUGACCACUGUUCUGCAGGACCUUAUGUUUGCUAUUAUAAAUUGGCACAAAGCAUCGCUGCCUCAGCAGGGUUUGCGUCACCUUCUCUGCUCCUUACUCCCACUCAGCCACAGAUCAGCGAAUGAUGAAAUCACCGCACAAACUCCAAUAAAGAGUCAUCUCAGAAUCUUGGGAAGAGCUCUGGAUGAGUGCAAAUUCAAAGAAAUAGACUGCAUUGAUAAA